rnacentral:tRNA from 1 species
GAUAAAGAAAGGAAUUAAACCUCUAUAAAUAGGACUACAGCCUACUACCUAACACUCGGCCACUUUACC